CUCGCGAUAAUUACCAGAUUGCCCCCCUCCUCGGCGUCGGCGGCGACGAUUCCCCUUCCCCUCAACCCGGCGGCGCCACCGCCCGCCAGACGCCAUACCGUCGAUUGUCUCCUCCGCUGCGGAAGAACGCCGCGCCGGAGUCCUCUCUCUCUCUCUCUCUCUCUCCCUUGUCGUCUCCCCUGUACUGGAUCGGCGGGGAACGGAGAUCCAUCUGGGCUGGUUCCUUCGGUUCCGGUACUUGGAGAAUUUGAAAACCAGGAAUGGCUAGAAAUGACUGAGGUUCUGGAGGCUCACUCACUAUAUAACAGGCACCAAAUAGUCCUGAAAGAAAAAAUAUUCUUUGCCUAGUGGUGCCGCCCUGCUGGAACCCUGAGACCACUCUUUUCCCAGAUGCAGUA